AGUGAACGCUGGCGGUAGGCCUAACACAUGCAAGUCGAACGGCAGCACAGUAAGAGCUUGCUCUUACGGGUGGCGAGUGGCGGACGGGUGAGGAAUACAUCGGAAUCUACUUUUUCGUGGGGGAUAACGUAGGGAAACUUACGCUAAUACCGCAUACGACCUACGGGUGAAAGCAGGGGAUCUUCGGACCUUGCGCGAUUGAAUGAGCCGAUGUCGGAUUAGCUAGUUCGCGGGGUAAAGGCCCACCAAGGCGACGAUCCGUAGCUGGUCUGAGAGGAUGAUCAGCCACACUGGAACUGAGACACGGUCCAGACUCCUACGGGAGGCAGCAGUGGGGAAUAUUGGACAAUGGGCGCAAGCCUGAUCCAGCCAUACCGCGUGGGUGAAGAAGGCCUUCGGGUUGUAAAGCCCUUUUGUUGGGAAAGAAAAGCAGCAGGUUAAUACCCCGCUGUUCUGACGGUACCCAAAGAAUAAGCACCGGCUAACUUCGUG
rnacentral:rRNA from 1 species